CUCCGAGUGACUCAUUCUCAUAGAAGGAACUGGACACAGAGGUAGACUCUAAGUUUGACGUCUAACGGGUGCGGCCCGCUCAUACCACCAACCGUGAGCGGACUCAGAGUGCGAUCACAUUUUACAGAGUGCGACUCUCUCAUACACUCAACGCACUAUGGUGCCGUCCAUUUGUUCCUCACACAGGCUUGUACCUGUACAGGUCAACUAUGACCGCAUAGAGGGGCGUCCCUCCUACAUCCAAUUUAAAUAUGAUGACCGCGCUACUGAUUUCGUUCUAGAGGGUUACCUGAUCGUGCAAGGUAUACAUAGUUUGUCUGGAUCCAUCUUGUAAUCCACAUGAGAAAUGCCCUCAGAGGUAUUAGUGGGGGAGGUUUCGCACUUAUGUACACACAUUCCGGGAGACUGUACGGCUAAGGAGGAGCCUCAGUUCUUACAAGAGUACAGGUUUUGGUAUAACCUGUGCUAUAUCAAACAGACAUUGCACUCUGUUUCAGAUAUUCAUUGUGUACAAACUGUGCAGACUAUUCUCCCGUGUCAGGGUGACAUGAGAUUCUGAGACCUGCAUAGGGCAAAUGGGCACUGCCUUGCUUGAGUAACAAGACUGGAAAAUUCACAUAAACGGUCUUCAGGUGCACCGUAUGCAUGGAUCGCAUGGAGAAACCGAAAUUUUUAGGACUUGGCUUCCCUGGUCCUUACAAUCUUGAGAUAAAGUUGGCAGGACUGCUCCUACAACUCUGAACACAUCUUGAGAACAGUUUUCGGACUCUAAAUCCAUCAUGGGACCAUCUUGAUUUGGGUUCUCACUAGCCUUCUGUAACGGACCGUUUUGCACAAAAGGGGGAAAAAAACGUUUAGACGAUAAUCCCCCUUUCAGAGCCAGGCACAGCUACUGUAGAAUCACCAAAACUCACGAACCGCCAAUAAGUGAAUGCUCCAAACUCCCGAACGGCAUACAAGGGAAUAAGGUAACACUUCAAAUAAACGAACAGGAACCAUACGAAUAGCUGCUAGCAGGCGAACAGGAAAAGCUUCCAAGCGGCUUACACUCCUGGCAAUCAGUCCUUAGC